UACGAAGGGGGCUAGCGUUGUUCGGAAUUACUGGGCGUAAAGCGCACGUAGGCGGGUCGUUAAGUCAGGGGUGAAAUCCCAGAGCUCAACUCUGGAACUGCCUUUGAUACUGGCGACCUAGAGUCCGGAAGAGGUUAGUGGAAUUCCCAGUGUAGAGGUGAAAUUCGUAGAUAUUGGGAAGAACACCAGUGGCGAAGGCGGCUAACUGGUCCGGUACUGACGCUGAGGUGCGGAAAGCGUGGGGAGCAAACAGGG
rnacentral:rRNA from 1 species